UACGUAGGGGGCAAGCGUUGUCCGGAUUUAUUGGGCGUAAAGAGCGUGUAGGCGGUCAGGUAGGUCGGUUGUGAAAACUGGAGGCUCAACCUUCAGAGGUCGACCGAAACCCCCUGGCUAGAGUCCGGGAGAGGAGAGUGGAAUUCCUGGUGUAGCGGUGACAUGCGCAGAUAUCAGGAAGAACACCCGUGGCGAAAGCGGCUCUCUGGAACGGUACUGACGCUGAGACGCGAAAGCGUGGGGAGCGAACAGG
rnacentral:rRNA from 1 species